rnacentral:rRNA from 1 species
UACGUAGGGCGCAAGCGUUGUCCGGAAUUAUUGGGCGUAAAGAGCUUGUAGGCGGUUUGUCGCGUCUGCUGUGAAAACCUAAGGCUCAACCUUGGGCUUGCAGUGGGUACGGGCAGACUAGAGUGCGGUAGGGGUGACUGGAAUUCCUGGUGUAGCGGUGGAAUGCGCAGAUAUCAGGAGGAACACCGAUGGCGAAGGCAGGUCACUGGGCCGCAACUGACGCUGGAGGAAGCGGAAAGCAUGGGGAGCGAACAGG